CCCCGUUUCAGUUGGUUAUCUUUGUAACUGUAAAAUCGAUGCAGCAGCCCCCCUGAAUAACUCGCUUUUAGAAAUAAGAAGAAAUAGCCUACUGCUCGCUAUCACUGCGACAGGUUUCUGCACUUUGAUAGUUGGUGGUGUAACUCACUAUCCGAAGAUCCUGCGCGUGGCAAAGAUAACCUCCCUCAAGACAGUGCCUUUACCCUUUGAGCCCCAUUCACACCUGCGACAGCUAAGAACAAGUGCAAGCGAAAGUACUGGGGCAACGGGGUCUGACACAGUGAUUAAGACUGGGGAGAGGUCGAGAGGCAGAGUCACAUUGUUGGUGUUACACCAAUCAGAGGCAAGGCAGAGGUCAUGGGCAUGUCUGGAGGCAGGACACACCCUAAGUGGCAGAGAUGAUGGUCUCUACCUGCUGCACCACCUAGGCCAAAAUCUCUCUGGUCAGAUUACCAACUCACAUCUUAUGAUGAUCCCAUUGUCUCAUUUUCUCUCAUCUCCUUCCAUUCUCAUCUUCUCCAGCUUUCAUCUUCUCCAAAUCUCAUUUUCCUCGUCCUUGGCCAAAACAACCCAUAGCCCCUUCCCAGCAUGGUGGCUGGUGGCACUUUAAAUCGGAGGACAGACUCAUAAUAAUGGCUGGAACAGAAUCAAUUGAAUGGUAUUAUCAAACAUAUGGAAACCAUGUGUUUGAUACCAUUCCAUUCACUCAGUUCCAGCCAUUAUUAGGAGCUGUCUUCCCCUCACCACCCUCCUCUGCCCCUUCCCCCAACUAGCACCUUCCACUUUUAUGUGUUUGCAGAUCUGAAGGAGUCAGACAGGUAUAGCAAUAUAGAGGAAGCUCCCCUGGGUCUAUUGGAGGGCUAGGUGUAGGAAACAUCAUUUUGUUUGUACGCCUAUUCAUCUCCAUUUCGUCAGAGCCCAUCGUUUCUCUCUCUCUCUCUCACACACACACACACACACACACACACACACACACACACACACACACACACACACACACACACACACACACACACACACACACACACACACACACACACACACACACACACACACACACACACACACACACACACACACACACACACACACACACACAAUUCACACAACUCUAGGAUAAAAAAGUUCCCUUGUACCAGCAACAACAAAAAAGGUUCUGGCCAUGAUAUUUAUUACAUUUCCAAUUACUUGUGGUCACCAACUGGUCGAUCACGAUCAACUGGUCGAUCUCCAAUGAAAUUAUAAUGCUCAUUUACAGUAGCUGUGCCUCACAAGUAAUACAACAAAUGAUCUAUUACCAGUACGAUCGUAUAGUUUAAAUGGUAUAUCAUUUCUAAAUGGUCUGAGAAGAACAAUAUUGCCAGUGCAGUUCAAGCAUAGACAAUAUGCUAUUUUAAUUGGUUAAUGUUGCAUAGGCUUACGAUUUGUAAGUAACGUUUAGAAAAAUCUGAGCAGUAGAUCUCGGCAUGCCGUUUGACUCAGAAAGUAAUCUUGACCCAGAAAAGGUUGGUGACCACUGUUCUAUAGCAUAGACCCUAGGGCAGUGGUCACCAACCGGUCUAUCGUGAUUGACUGGUUGAUCUCCAAGCCAUUCCUAGUUAAUCACCAAACAUUUCCGUAAAAAAAAACAACAAUAAAGCCUCCCUCCCCUCAGACUGACCAUCAGAUGCUCACUUAGCUGUUUCUCACAAGUAAUACAACAAAUGAU